CUUGCUCGUACUGACCUUUGAUCCCUGAGCAGGGGUUGCUCUUGGUGAAUUCGCUUUAUUCUUGUUGAAUCACACAAAGGUAACUUUGGUUUGCAUAUCAAAUCCUGCCUGGCAUGGUUU
rnacentral:precursor_RNA from 15 species